rnacentral:rRNA from 1 species
UACGAAGGGGGCUAGCGUUGUUCGGAAUUACUGGGCGUAAAGUGUGCGCAGGUGGCCGCGCAUGUCGAGUGUGAAAUCCCCGGGCUUAACUUGGGAAUUGCGCUCGAAACUACGUGGCUCGAGUGUGGCAGAGGAAGGUGGAAUUCCAGGUGUAGCGGUGAAAUGCGUAGAGAUCUGGAGGAACACCGAUGGCGAAGGCAGCCUUCUGGGCCAA